GACGAACGCUGGCGGCGUGCUUAACACAUGCAAGUCGAACGGAAAGGCCCUGCUUUUGUGGGGUGCUCGAGUGGCGAACGGGUGAGUAACACGUGAGUAACCUGCCCUUGACUUUGGGAUAACUUCAGGAAACUGGGGCUAAUACCGGAUAGGAGCUCCUGCUGCAUGGUGGGGGUUGGAAAGUUUCGGCGGUUGGGGAUGGACUCGCGGCUUAUCAGCUUGUUGGUGGGGUAGUGGCUUACCAAGGCUUUGACGGGUAGCCGGCCUGAGAGGGUGACCGGCCACAUUGGGACUGAGAUACGGCCCAGACUCCUACGGGAGGCAGCAGUGGGGAAUAUUGCACAAUGGGCGGAAGCCUGAUGCAGCCACGCCGCGUGCGGGAUGACGGCCUUCGGGUUGUAAACCGCUUUCGCCUGUGACGAAGCGUGAGUGACGGUAAUGUGUAAAGAAGCACCGGCUAACUACGUG
rnacentral:rRNA from 1 species